rnacentral:rRNA from 1 species
AGCGAACGCUGGCGGCAGGCCUAACACAUGCAAGUCGAACGAACUCUUCGGAGUUAGUGGCGGACGGGUGAGUAACACGUGGGAACGUGCCUUUUGGUUCGGAAUAACUCAGGGAAACUUGUGCUAAUACCGAAUGUGCCCUUCGGGGGAAAGAUUUAUCGCCAUUAGAGCGGCCCGCGCCUGAUUAGCUAGUUGGUGAGGUAACGGCUCACCAAGGCGACGAUCAGUAGCUGGUCUGAGAGGAUGACCAGCCACACUGGGACUGAGACACGGCCCAGGCUCCUACGGGAGGCAGCAGUGGGGAAUCUUGCGCAAUGGGCGAAAGCCUGACGCAGCCAUGCCGCGUGAAUGAUGAAGGUCUUAGGAUUGUAAAAUUCUUUCACCGGGGACGAUAAUGACGGUACCCGGAGAAGAAGCCCCGGCUAACUUCGUG